rnacentral:rRNA from 1 species
GAUGAACGCUCGCUACAGGCUUAACACAUGCAAGUCGAGGGGAAACGGCAUCGAAAGCUUGCUUUUGAUGGGCGUCGACCGGCGCACGGGUGAGUAACGCGUAUCCAACCUGCCCAUCACUUGGGAAUAACCUUGCGAAAGUAAGACUAAUGCCCAAUGACAUCCCACGAAGGCAUCCGAAUGGGAUUAAAGAUUUAUCGGUGAUGGAUGGGGAUGCGUCUGAUUAGCUUGUUGGCGGGGUGACGGCCCACCAAGGCAACGAUCAGUAGGGGUUCUGAGAGGAAGGUCCCCCACAUUGGAACUGAGACACGGUCCAAACUCCUACGGGAGGCAGCAGUGAGGAAUAUUGGUCAAUGGGCGAGAGCCUGAACCAGCCAAGUAGCGUGCAGGAUGACGGCCCUAUGGGUGGUAAACUGCUUUUAUAAGGGAAUAAAGUGGGUCACGUGUGACUUUUUGCAUGUACCUUAUGAAUAAGGACCGGCUAAUUCCGUG